rnacentral:rRNA from 1 species
GACGUAGGGCGCGAGCAUUGUCCGGAUUUAUUGGGCGUAAAGAGCUCGUAGGCGGUUUGUCGCGUCGGGAGUGAAAACCUUGGGCUUAACUCAGGGCUUGCUUUCGAUACGGGCAGACUAGAGGUAUGCAGGGGAGAACGGAAUUCCUGGUGUAGCGGUGAAAUGCGCAGAUAUCAGGAGGAACACCGGUGGCGAAGGCGGUUCUCUGGGCAUGAUCUGACGCUGAGGAGCGAAAGUGUGGGGAGCGAACAGG